UACAGAGGGUGCGAGCGUUAAUCGGAAUUACUGGGCGUAAAGGGCGCGUAGGUGGAUGAAUAAGUCAGAGGUGAAAGCCCUGGGCUCAACCUAGGAAUUGCCUAUGAUACUGUUUUUGUCUGGAGUGAAGUAGAGGGUAGCGGAAUUCCCGGUGUAGCGGUGAAAUGCGCAGAUACCAGGAGGAACACCGGUGGCGAAGGCGGUUCUCUGGGCAUUACCUGACGCUGAGGAGCGAAAGUGUGGGGAGCGAACAGG
rnacentral:rRNA from 1 species